UGAAAUAUUAAACUAAUAUUUUGUAAUAAUAACUUUGCUAUAAUUUUGUCAAUGAACAUUUUUCUGCUCUUGUUAAAUUAGCAAAAUUUGUUUUUCCAUAUUAAAAUAUUCAUAUAUUUUUUUAUUACUUGUUGAUUUCCAAUUCUAGUAUUUAAAUUCGAUGGUAAUAAGUAAAGCAGUACCUGAAUAUUCAAAUGGAUAUGCAUUAAAUAUAUUAAAUAGAGAAAGGUGUUCAAUGAAAAGGAAAAAAAAUGUCUUGUAUGAAAUUGAAAUCUAAUGGAGUUCUGUUGUCAUGUUAAAGAAUAAAAAGACAUACUAUUGUGCAAUCUUCAAGAGCACGUGGAAGAAAAUGCAAUAGGUUUGGAUUAAUAUGUGUUAAGUUAAGUUGCAACGUCAUAAGUGGUCGAGUCAGAGAUCAAGCGGGAUGAUAGGGAAAGUGGUCUUCUUUUGGAUUAUUUCACAUGAUGCAGUUUCACGUUUUACAUUGGAACAGAGAAAGUAAAAGGCAUUCAUCCAUUGCGGAUAUAUUGUGAUCACGAACCUGUAAGGAACAUGACGACCGUUACCAGCGGCAAGGGCGCUAAUAACAUUGCCAAGCGCCGAGAGGCUGAGAUUUAUACUUGCAGCCUCCUUGAGUCGAUCACCUGUUGCUCCGGUUCGUGUUUGACG